rnacentral:misc_RNA from 1 species
UGAGCUAAGUUGGAUGCAAAAAAUGGGUUCCUGUGUUGCAUACCUAUUGUGAUGGAAAUUUGUCCAUUUCGUUGUCCCUUUCGUCAURACAUCCUUUUGGAUGCUUUGUCGGACUAGAUAGUAGGGCUUGUGUUCCACGAACCAUCUCAUGGGAUCGUUCGGAUGGACCAYGAGCGCCUACUCGUUCUCUCGGAUGCGGAACUUUCUYCAUGGGUAUGGGGUCAUUGCCCCCUAUUUCCCAAAUCUUUAAGCGUUCGUCGCUUUACUGGAAUGACGCUCUUGCCUUGUCUUGGACCAUGUGGAGCUUUCGGGCUUCAUGAUGGAUCAUGCUUGGCGGACGUCGUGAAGGAAUGC